GACAGAGGGUGCAAACGUUGUUCGGAAUCACUGGGCGUAAAGGGCGCGUAGGCGGCUUUGUAAGUCGGGGGUGAAAGCCUGUGGCUCAACCACAGAAUUGCCUUCGAUACUGCAUGGCUUGAGACCGGAAGAGGUAAGUGGAACUGCGAGUGUAGAGGUGAAAUUCGUAGAUAUUCGCAAGAACACCAGUGGCGAAGGCGGCUUACUGGUCCGGUUCUGACGCUGAGGCGCGAAAGCGUGGGGAGCAAACAGG
rnacentral:rRNA from 1 species